GAUUUCAGGUAAAAACAAUAAUUGAAGAUGUCCAGCAAAACAGCAAGCACCAACAAUAUAGCCCAGGCAAGGAGAACUGUGCAGCAGUUAAGAUUAGAAGCCUCCAUUGAAAGAAUAAAGGUUUCGAAGGCAUCAGCGGACCUCAUGUCCUACUGUGAGGAACAUGCCAGGAGUGACCCUUUGCUGAUAGGAAUACCAACUUCAGAAAACCCUUUCAAGGAUAAAAAAACUUGCAUCAUCUUAUAGUGGAAUAGAGAAACAGCUCCUCGCCUCUUCCCAACAACGCAAAUUAUGAGCAGCUCCUUGAAGAGAUUUACCUUCAGCUUAUUUGGUAACCACUGCUAAUAACUAAAAUGUUCUCAGCUUGGAAUAAUGGACUCUGAAGUCUCUAUUUUCCAAGUUGUCCUUUCUCUUAAAAUACCCUUUACUGAUUUAAUACAGAAUAACAAUCUUAUUUUCCACUUGGUAACUAUGGCUUUAUGUUGGGUUACUGUUUAAGGAAAGUUGAUCUGGGCCUUUUUAAAAACAUAAUUAUAUACUUUAGAAAUACAAGGGAUUCCGAUAUGUCAGGACCUAAAUGGCCUAAGCACCUGUCAAAUUAAAAUUCCAAAAUUCAUUGAAAUCCUAAAGCCUUGAUAUUAUAUUCUUUAUAAGGCGUGUGCCAGCCUGUAUAGUAUAUAAGAGAGAGGGGUGUUUGUGUGUAUAUAUAUAUGCCUUUGUGUAUACACUUAUCAAAGCUAUUUUCUUAUGAAAACGUCCCUCUCUCCAUACCAUCAGUUUCUCAGUUCCAGAAGUUAUACCUUUAUUUUGAGCUGUGUAUAGGUAGAAUAAAAAAUUCCUUUCAUAUCGUUAUUGUACAAAAAGUAAAGAGUAUCCUAAAGAUUGUAUUCAUUGUAAUCAAGUAAUGCAAUCAUCUCUCCUCUCUUGAAAUCUUGCUGGACCUCUUAGGCUACAAUAAACUGUACCAAACUAAACUGACAGUCCUUCGAUAAUAUGAAACAUUAAUUUACAAGGACCCGUUAGGGCUUCAAUGAUGCUGAGUCUGGAAAAGGGGAGGAGACCCUUGGGAGGACUCCAGGCAGCUGUGCUCCCAGGGCUCAUGUUCUCUACUGGAUUAGGGAUAGGCACCUCUGAAAUCUCCACCCUGAUGAUUGGAAUGAAACGGAGUGAACAUGAGCCCAGCUGAGAGAGGAGCAGGAAUGUGUGAAAAACAGCUGCUCUCCUUGUCCCAGCUUUGUGAUUGAGCCCUCUGUCUUGCUCUCUCUGCCUUCCCUGUGUCUUUCUUCUCUUACCAGAGCAUCUGUUUGCAGAGGUAACAUUACCUUCCCCAGCCACAGGUAUGUGGAAUACGGUGAG
rnacentral:lncRNA from 1 species